AAACUCUCAUGGUGUGACGGGCGGUGUGUACAAGGCCCGGGAACGUAUUCACCGCGGCGUGCUGAUCCGCGAUUACUAGCGAUUCCGACUUCGUGUAGGCGAGUUGCAGCCUACAGUCCGAACUGAGAAUGGCUUUAAGAGAUUAGCUUGACCUCGCGGUCUCGCAACUCGUUGUACCAUCCAUUGUAGCACGUGUGUAGCCCAGGUCAUAAGGGGCAUGAUGAUUUGACGUCAUACCCACCUUCCUCCGGUUUGUCACCGGCAGUCUUACUAGAGUGCCCAACUAAAUGCUGGCAACUAGUCAUAAGGGUUGCGCUCGUUGCGGGACUUAACCCAACAUCUCACGACACGAGCUGACGACAACCAUGCACCACCUGUCAUUUUGCCCCCGAAGGGGAAACCUGAUCUCUCAGGUGAUCAAAAGAUGUCAAGACCUGGUAAGGUUCUUCGCGUUGCUUCGAAUUAAACCACAUGCUCCACCGCUUGUGCGGGCCCCCGUCAAUUCCUUUGAGUUUCAACCUUGCGGUCGUACUCCCCA
rnacentral:rRNA from 1 species